CCCGCUGAACUUAAGCAUAUCAAUAAGCGGAGGAAAAGAAACUAACAAGGAUUCCCUCAGUAACAGCGAGUGAAGCGGGAAGAGCUCUUAUUUAAAAUCUGGCUCACUAGUAAGUCCGAGUUGUAGUCUGGAGAAACGUGUUCCAUAAGCUCUGAGGCACAAGUGCCUUGGAUACAGAGGCAUCAUAGAGGGUGAGAAUGGAGUGGCAUGGUCAUCAAGUUGCUUAUUCUGUGAUACGUCUUUCAAAGAGUCAGGUUGUCAGGGAAUGCAGCCUAAAAUGGGUGGUAAUUUUCAUCUAAAGCUACAUAUUGGCGAGAGAUCGAUAGCGAACAAGUACCGUGAGGGAAAGAUGAAAAGACCUAGGAAAAGAGAGUUAAACAGUACGUGAAAUGGUUGAAAGGGAUCUGUUUGAAGCCAGUCUCACUAGCUGGAGAUCAGUUUGUGCCUAGGCAUGAAUGCACUCUCGGGUAUGGUAGGCCAGCGGCAGUUUAGAAUGCGAGAAAAAAAUCUGGGAAAUGUGGCCAUUGGGUGUUAUAGUCCCUUAUGAAAUAUCGUGUUCUGGACUGAGGAUCGCAGUAAAAAUGUGGGCAGGUAGAUUUCUGUGGUGAAUGAUUAUUAGGACAGCUUGUAGACCUAGUUUUCAUAAGCCUCACUGUCUGCCUUGCUUCUAAUUCGCUUAGGUCGUUGGCAUAAUGGCUUAUAAAUGACCCGUCGUGAAACACGG
rnacentral:rRNA from 1 species